rnacentral:rRNA from 1 species
AUUGAACGCUGGCGGCAGGCCUAACACAUGCAAGUCGAACGGUAACAGGGAUCAGCUUGCUGAUUCGCUGACGAGUGGCGGACGGGUGAGUAAUGUCUGGGAAACUGCCUGAUGGAGGGGGAUAACUACUGGAAACGGUAGCUAAUACCGCAUAACGUCGCAAGACCAAAGAGGGGGACCUUCGGGCCUCUUGCCAUCUGCUGUGCCCAGAUGGGAUUAGCUAGUAGGUGGGGUAACGGCUCACCUAGUCGACGAUCCGUAGCUGGUCUGAGAGGAUGACCAGCCACACUGGAACUGAGACACGGUCCAGACUCCUACGGGAGGCAGCAGUGGGGAAUAUUGCACAAUGGGCGCAAGCCUGAUGCAGCCAUGCCGCGUGUAUGAAGAAGGCCUUCGGGUUGUAAAGUACUGUCAGCGGGGAGGAAGGGAGUAAAGUUAAUACCUUUGCUCAUUGACGUUACCCGAAGAAGAAGCACCGGCUAACUCCGUG